rnacentral:tRNA from 1 species
GGAGCUUUAGUUUAAUUAAAACGUCUGUGUUGCAAGCAGAGGAUGUAGUGUCUGCAAGUUCUA